UACGGAGGGGGCAAGCGUUGUUCGGAAUUACUGGGCGUAAAGGGCGCGCAGGCGGCUGCUCAAGUCAGGCGUGAAAGGCCUGGGCUCAACCCGGGAAUUGCGCUUGAGACUGGGCUGGCUUGAGUGCGGGAGAGGAUGGUGGAAUUCCACGUGUAGCAGUGAAAUGCGUAGAGAUGUGGAGGAACACCGAUGGCGAAGGCAGCCCCCUGGGCUAACACUGACGCUCAUGCACGAAAGCGUGGGGAGCAAACAGG
rnacentral:rRNA from 1 species